rnacentral:rRNA from 1 species
UAAGCGGAGGAAAAGAAAACAAUAGUGAUGCCUCUAGUAACGGCGAGUGAAGCAGGCAAAGCCCAACUUUAAAAUCUGGCGCUUUCAGCGUCCGAGUUGUAGUCUCGAGAAGCAUGGCUCGUGUCGGUCCGCGUCAAACUGGUUCGGAUGCCAGGUCAUAGAGGGUGACAAUCCCGUUGGCAACGCGGCCUCCCGAUGCAUCAGCAGUCUGCUCUCCAAGAGUCGAGUUGUUUGGGAAUGCAGCUCUAAUUAGGUGGUAAAUUCCAUCCAAGGCUAAAUAUCGGCGGGAGACCGAUAGCGAACAAGUACCGUGAGGGAAAGAUGAAAAGCACUUUGGAAAGAGAAUGAAAGAGUAUGUGAAAUUGCUGGAAGGGAAACGCUUGAAGUCAGACACGCGCGGGGGUAUUCAGCUCGGUUCGCCGGGUGCAUUUGCCCUCAUUGCGCGCCAGCAUCGGUUCGUGGGGCCGCAGCAGCGAGGUGGCAAUGUGGCCGUCUCCGGGCGGUGUUACAGGCCGCCGUUGUGGUCGGACCCGUGGACCGAGGAUCGCAGCGCGCCGCAAGGCAGCCCUCGAGGGGGUAGAGCGCUUAGGAUGCUGGCGGAAUGGCUUUAAACGACCCGUCUUGAAACACG